GGUAUGCGGUCUGCCAGUAAACUCUUCCCGACGAAACGUGUCGCGAAUCGUACGAUGAUCGCUGAGAACAACCACCAGUUGCGUACCAAGCCGGGCACUGAACAUUGGACCAUAUUUUUUCGCUAGCUCUCCGUACCUGAGCCAUUGCAAGCAUCUAGCAACCAGCAAUACACCUAGGAACACGAGAAACGUGCAAAGGACCUCGAUUCUCGUGCCGCCCAUUGCUUGCCAAGCCCAUUGUGCAGCGUGCUCCACUAACAUCGCGCGAUGUUUCAAUUACGCCGUACGAUUUUUCAACACGCCUUUGUCCUUUCCGCGAUAAAUGUAUAAUCCUCUUACUGCACGACACGUAUAUAUCUCUCCUUCCACCGAGACUUCUUCUUCCGAGAUUUUAUUAAUUUCACUCUUCUUCCCUCCUUCGUCGAUCCUAUGUCAUCUAUGAUACUCUUCCUUCCUUCUUUUAUUUUCUAUUAUUGCGCCUUCUUUCCUCUUCCUUCUUCCUCGUACCCGCUUCCUUCCUUUUCCUCCCUCCCUUCUCUUCCCGUUGCUCUUUCGUCCACCUUGAUUUUCUUCGACCUCUAAUCUUAUUCGCUCCUGCUUCCCUCUCUCUUUCUCUCUCUCUCUUUCUCUCUCUCUCUUCUCUUUCUCUCCCUCCCUCCCUCUCUCUCUCUCUCUCUCUCCUUUCUCCCCGUAUCACCUCUUCUUAUCUCUGUUGCCGCCUUUCAACCCUCUCUCUCUCCCUCUCUCUCUCUCUCUCUCUUCUCACUUUUCUUCUUUCCCUUUCGCUUUCUACGCCUCUUUCCUCUUUCUUUUUUCUUUCCCCCUUUUCUUUCCUUCCUUUCCCCCUUUCCUUCCUUUCCCUUCGCCGUCCGAUACGAUUAUCCAACACGACGCCUCGAACAGAGAAAACACGCCUCGCGAGCCUCCCCUUCUGAGCUGAUUUCGUACCGGCGCGAACACAAUUUUCCUACUCGAAACGAUGCUUCCGAAAUUCGCGGCUUUAAGUAUCAAAUCUGACCAAGUUGGUGGGGCAUAAUCUGGAGGGGAAUAUAUGAAAAAAGAGGGGAGAAGGAGAGCGCGCGUGUGCGUGUACGUGAUCGUAUUCGCACACGCACGUGUUGUACGAGAGAGGAUAAUUAGAUUGAUUUAUCAAAAAAAAAAAAAAAAGAAAAAAGAAGAAAGCAAAAAAAAAAAAAUAUCUUCGACCGAUUCGAAACAAGAAUCGGGUAUUAGCCCGUUGAUUAAUUCGAGGAAAAUAGGGAAUAAAAUAAGGGGGGAAAAAUGAUCGAAAGAACUAUACGAAUAUAUAUAUAUAUAUGUGUGUGUGUGUAUAUAAAACCUAUAUAUGUAUAUAUAUAUAUAUACAUAUAUAUACAUAUAUAGGUAUCCACCUAUAAGACGAACCUGGUAGAAAGAACCGUAGAGUGUAGCAGCUGAAUGUAGAAAGAGCGCGAGUGGGAGUGAGUAACGUGCACGCACAGGUGAUAAACGCGCUCGCUUAUGCUUACGCACUAAGGGAAGAAACGUGGUGGGAGUGUCAAUGGGAACCAAAGGACGAUUGAAAACGGAGAAAGAAAGGGUGGAGGGAAGAAAGACAGAGGGGAGAGAGAGAGAGAGAAGGAGGGAGGGAGGGAG